rnacentral:other from 1 species
CCUGGGGUGGUCGAUCCCCUGUUUAUAUUGAACCUACAUUUACUUUAAAACGGGAUUCCAAUAUACUUGUAUGGCUGUCAGGCCGUCGUUUGCAGCGGAAGGCAAAAGUACAAUUGAGGUAACCCACCUAGAAUCUUUCUAGGAGUCAAAAUGCAGGAACGACAUUCUGGG